rnacentral:lncRNA from 1 species
AGUGCUCAAUACUGGUAGCCCAUUGUGCUGUUAGCUCUGUAAAUUCUACUGUUCGUCUAGUUAAAGACCAAAGAGGUCUUUAACCUCAUUCUAAAACUCUCUGUAUCUAAAUCACCAAAAUUCUGCAAAAAUUGCUUUCAAAAGGCGUGCAGUGUCCACCUGUUUUUCUGUACUCUCAUACUAUUGCAGUAGCCUAAGCCAGUAUCAUUUUUCAUUUUAUCUCCUAACUUGUCUCCAUGCUUGUAGUACCUGCCCCCAUGCCAAGCCAGGCUCUAGCCAGUUGUCACUCCAAAGCUAUUUAAAAUAUGAUCUGGAUCCUGUAUAAAUAUAAAUAGUGGUGGUGUUGGUGAUGUCACCACCCACCCGCCAACACCCACUCCCCACCUUACCUAAACUGACUUCCCUUCCCUUUGGCAAUAAAACCCAAGACCUCGCCCAGGCCUCCAGCCCUUACAUAAAGUGUCUCUUGGUGCCUCUCUAACCUCCUCUUGGACCAUUCUUCUCCCUUGCUUACUGUGUUUCUACUAUACUGAUCUCUCUGGCCUCACUCCUGCCAAGCUCUUUCCUGCCCUGAGGCCUUUGCCCUUGCUGUUCUCCCUGCCUAGAACAUCCUUGUCCCAGAUCUUUACAUGACUGGCUCUUUAUGGCAUGUAGUCCUGGGAGAAGCCUUCCUGACCUCUCCACCUUCGUUUCAUGUUUUUUGUUCUUAUCAGCACUCAUUAGGCUGGAUAUCCUCUUUUUGUUUUCUGUGUUCUCCACUAGACUACAAGUUCCUAGAGCAGAGACCUUGUU